AAUCAACGCUGGCGGCGUGCCUCAGACAUGCAAGUCGAACGCGAAAGUCCCCUUCGGGGGACAAGUAGAGUGGCGCACGGGUGAGUAACACGUAGGUAAUCUACCUUCGGAUGGGGAAUAACAACCGGAAACGGUUGCUAAUACCGCAUAAUGCAGCGGCACCUAAUGGUGACAGUUGUUAAAGCGGGGGAUCGAAAGACCUCGCGUCUGAAGAGGAGCCUGCGGCGGAUUAGCUAGNGGUAAGGUAACGGCUUACCAAGGCGACGAUCCGUAGCCGGCCUGAGAGGACGAUCAGCCACACUGGGACUGAGACACGGCCCAGACUCCUACGGGAGGCAGCAGUGGGGAAUCUUGCGCAAUGGGGGCAACCCUGACGCAGCCAUGCCGCGUGAACGAUGAAGGCCUUAGGGUUGUAAAGUUCUUUUGCCCGUGACGAUGAUGACGGUAACGGGAGAAUAAGCUCCGGCUAACUUCGUGCCAGCCGCCGCAGUAAU
rnacentral:rRNA from 1 species